AUUGAACGCUGGCGGCAUGCCUUACACAUGCAAGUCGAACGGCAGCACGGGCUUCGGUCUGGUGGCGAGUGGCGAACGGGUGAGUAAUGUACCGGAACGUACCUUUCAGUGGGGGAUAACGUAGCGAAAGUUACGCUAAUACCGCAUAUUCUGUGAGCAGGAAAGCAGGGGAUCGCAAGACCUUGCGCUGAUUGAGCGGCCGAUAUCAGAUUAGCUAGUUGGUGAGGUAAAGGCUCACCAAGGCGACGAUCUGUAGCGGGUCUGAGAGGAUGAUACGCCACACUGGAACUGAGACACGGUCCAGACUCCUACGGGAGGCAGCAGUGGGGAAUUUUGGACAAUGGGGGCAACCCUGAUCCAGCCAUGCCGCGUGAGUGAAGAAGGCCUUCGGGUUGUAAAGCUCUUUCGGCCGGGAAGAAAUCGCAUAGGUUAAUACCCUGUGUGGAUGACGGUACCGGAAUAAGAAGCACCGGCUAACUACGUGCCAGCCGCCGCAGUAAGAC
rnacentral:rRNA from 1 species